AAGACUAUACUUUCAAAAAUUAUUUCUACAGGUUUUUUUAUUGAAGAGAAGUUUCUUUGUGUAGAAUACCAAAAACCAUGAGAAAGAGGUGUAGUGUUCUUUUUUUGAGUGUAGAGUUGGUUGUAAACGUUGUUUCUUUACAAUUGUUUACUGCCGUUGAUGGUCGUUCUUUUUUUUUUUCUUUUUGGGAGAGGGAAAGAAGGCUGUCUGAGUGGU